CCUUGUCCACUUCUAUUUCUAGCAAAUAUAUCUUAACAAUGGUACCAACAUUCACAAAAGGCCGCAGGAACAGCAGGGUAUGAUUUACAUAAAGCCCAUGCUUCAUUUCCAUGCCUUCUUUGGCACUCGUUCCAGCAACGCUCAUCAGGCUUUUCUCCAUCGCAUUUAGUCUCUAUCCAAGGGUACCCUUCGUGACAGGUUUUAGCAUCAAUCUUGACUACUGUGUAAUUCGCUGCAUCAGCAUAAUAAUUUUUUUUUUGAGUACAAAAUUUUUUUUGGCUAGGGCAUAAAUAAAAUUUUUGAUAAAAGAGAAAGGGUAGCAAUUAAUUUUAGGGUAGCCCCGUUGGGCCUAUACUUUUAAUUAUGGGCAUUCUAUUAGCUUUAUAAUUGUUGCAAAUGCUUGUAAAGUAAAUUAACGAAAAGUGAAUAACAAAAAGUAGAAUGCUAACAUCGGUGCCCUAAAAUUAGGGUCACGUAUAACCUGUUACGCAUAUGACAUGACAAUUGAAAAUAUUGGUUGAAAAACUGGUAAAAUAUCUGCGGAUUGCAUCUAAGAGGACCGAUUAUCGGUUCAAAUUGUUGGUGGGAACUCAAAUAAUUGAUUAUAUAUGUAUAGAAAUUAAAUGAUUGUCUGGGUUAUUCAAAAAAUAGACCAACUACUUUGAUUGAUUAAAGUGAAGAUUGGGGAUCUGAUCUUCUGAUCUUAAAAAAAAAAAAAAGAUGUGAAAGACAGGAUUAAUACCUGAGAGAAGAAUAGUGAGGAGAAGAAUGGAGUGAAACGAUGAAGAAAAUGUGGAGGCUGCCAUCU
rnacentral:lncRNA from 1 species